rnacentral:rRNA from 1 species
AACGCUAGCUACAGGCUUAACACAUGCAAGACGAACGGAUUCUGGAUUCGUCUGGAAUUAGUGGCAAACGGGUGAGUAACACGUAUCCAACCACCCUGCGACUCGGGGAUAGCCUCUUGAAAGGGAGAUUAAUAUCCGAUGUACUGUUUUUGGUGCAUGCCAUUUUCAGUAAAGUUUUUUACGGUCGCUGACGGGGAUGCGUUCCAUUAGAUAGUCGGUGUGGUAACGGCUCACCGAGUCUAUGAUGGAUAGGGGUUCUGAGAGGAAGGUCCCCCACAUUGGAACUGCGACACGGUCCAAACUCCUACGGGAGGCAGCAGUGAGGAAUAUUGGUCAAUGGGCGAAAGCCUGAACCAGCUAUGUAGCGUGAAGGAUGACUGCCCUAUGGGUUGUAAACUUCUUUUGUUCGGGAAUAACAGACUUCACUUGUGGAGUUUUGCAUGUACCGUUCGAAUAAGGAUCGGCUAACUCCGUGCCAGCAGCCGCGGUAAUACGGAGGAUCCUAGCGUUAUUCGGAUUUAUUGGGUUUAAAGGGAGCGUAGGCGGGGGGUCAAGUCAGCUGUGAAAUACGUACGCUUAACGUUCGUCUUGCAGUUGAAACUGGUUUUCUUGAGUGCGUAUGAGGCAGGCGGAAUUCGUGGUGUAGCGGUGAAAUGCUUAGAUAUCACGAAGAACUCCGAUUG